UGGUCAAAUAUUGUAGCCAUGGUAUCUUUCUUCAUGUAGACUGUUGGCCCAAUAGUGUAACCAUGGUAUCUUAUUGCAUGUAUACUGUUGGUCAAAUAGUUAAGCCAUGGUAUCUUACUGCAUGUAUUUGAUGGUCGAUGGCUGUAACCAUUGUUUCUUAACUUGCAUUAAGUUUGGCGGUCAAAGAGUUUAACCAUGGUAGCUAACUCUAUGUUGUUUGUUGUUCAAAAAU
rnacentral:lncRNA from 1 species